rnacentral:rRNA from 1 species
UACGUAGGGCGCAAGCGUUGUCCGGAAUUAUUGGGCGUAAAGAGCUUGUAGGUGGCUUGUCGCGUCUGCCGUGAAAGCCCGGGGCUCAACCCCGGGUGUGCAGUGGGUACGGGCAGGCUGGAGUGCAGUAGGGGAGACUGGAAUUCCUGGUGUAGCGGUGAAAUGCGCAGAUAUCAGGAGGAACACCGGUGGCGAAGGCGGGACUCUGGGCUGUUACUGACGCUGAGGAGCGAAAGCAUGGGGAGCGAACAGG